rnacentral:rRNA from 1 species
AAUAGAUACCCUGGUAGUCCACGCCGUAAACGAUGAGUGCUAAGUGUUAGAGGGUUUCCGCCCGUUUAGUGCUGCAGCUAACGCAUUAAGCACUCCGCCUGGGGAGUACGGCCGCAAGGCUGAAACUCAAAGGAAUUGACGGGGGCCCGCACAAGCGGUGGAGCAUGUGGUUUAAUUCGAGGCAACGCGAAGAACCUUACCAGGUCUUGACAUCCCCUGCCAACCCUAGAGAUAGGGCGUUCCCCUUCGGGGGACAGAGUGACAGGUGGUGCAUGGUUGUCGUCAGCUCGUGUCGUGAGAUGUUGGGUUAAGUCCCGCAACGAGCGCAACCCUUGAUCUUAGUUGCCAGCAUUCAGUUGGGCACUCUAAGGUGACUGCCGGUGACAAACCGGAGGAAGGUGGGGAUGACGUCAAAUCAUCAUGCCCCUUAUGACCUGGGCUACACACGUGCUACAAUGGAUGGUACAAAGAGCUGCGAACCCGCGAGGGUAAGCCAAUCUCAUAAAGCCAUUCUCAGUUCGGA